AUUGAACGCUGGCGGCAGGCCUAACACAUGCAAGUCGAGCGGAUGACGGGAGCUUGCUCCUUGAUUCAGCGGCGGACGGGUGAGUAAUGCCUAGGAAUCUGCCUGGUAGUGGGGGACAACGUUUCGAAAGGAACGCUAAUACCGCAUACGUCCUACGGGAGAAAGCAGGGGACCUUCGGGCCUUGCGCUAUCAGAUGAGCCUAGGUCGGAUUAGCUAGUUGGUGGGGUAAUGGCUCACCAAGGCGACGAUCCGUAACUGGUCUGAGAGGAUGAGCAGGCACACUGGAACUGAGACACGGUCCAGACUCCAACGGGAAGCAGCUGUGGGGAAUUUUGGACAAUUGCCGAAAGCCUUAUCCAGCCAUGCGGCGUGUGGGAAGAAGGUCUUCGGAUUGUAAAGCGCUUUAAGUGGGGAGGAAGGGCAGUAAGCUAAUACCUUGCUGUUUUGACGUUACCGACAGAAUAAGCACCGGCUAACUCUGUGCCAGCCGCCGCCGUAAAAC
rnacentral:rRNA from 1 species